rnacentral:rRNA from 1 species
AGAGUUUGAUCAUGGCUCAGAUUGAACGCUGGCGGCAGGCCUAACACAUGCAAGUCGAACGGUAACAGGAAGCAGCUUGCUGCUUCGCUGACGAGUGGCGGACGGGUGAGUAAUGUCUGGGAAGCUGCCUGAUGGAGGGGGAUAACUACUGGAAACGGUAGCUAAUACCGCAUAAUGUCGCAAGACCAAAGAGGGGGACCUUCGGGCCUCUUGCCAUCGGAUGUGCCCAGAUGGGAUUAGCUUGUUGGUGGGGUAACGGCUCACCAAGGCGACGAUCCCUAGCUGGUCUGAGAGGAUGACCAGCCACACUGGAACUGAGACACGGUCCAGACUCCUACGGGAGGCAGCAGUGGGGAAUAUUGCACAAUGGGCGCAAGCCUGAUGCAGCCAUGCCGCGUGUAUGAAGAAGGCCUUCGGGUUGUAAAGUACUUUCAGCGGGGAGGAAGGGAGUAAAGUUAAUACCUUUGCUCAUUGACGUUACCCGCAGAAGAAGCACCGGCUAACUCCGUGCCAGCAGCCGCGGUAAUACGGAGGGUGCAAGCGUUAAUCGGAAUUACUGGGCGUAAAGCGCACGCAGGCGGUUUGUUAAGUCAGAUGUGAAAUCCCCGGGCUCAACCUGGGAACUGCAUCUGAUACUGGCAAGCUUGAGUCUCGUAGAGGGGGGUAGAAUUCCAGGUGUAGCGGUGAAAUGCGUAGAGAUCUGGAGGAAUACCGGUGGCGAAGGCGGCCCCCUGGACGAAGACUGACGCUCAGGUGCGAAAGCGUGGGGAGCAAACAGGAUUAGAUACCCUGGUAGUCCACGCCGUAAACGAUGUCGACUUGGAGGUUGUGCCCUUGAGGCGUGGCUUCCGGAGCUAACGCGUUAAGUCGACCGCCUGGGGAGUACGGCCGCAAGGUUAAAACUCAAAUGAAUUGACGGGGGCCCGCACAAGCGGUGGAGCAUGUGGUUUAAUUCGAUGCAACGCGAAGAACCUUACCUGGUCUUGACAUCCACGGAAGUUUUCAGAGAUGAGAAUGUGCCUUCGGGAACCGUGAGACAGGUGCUGCUUGGCUGUCGUCAGCUCGUGUUGUGAAAUGUUGGGUUAAGUCCCGCAACGAGCGCAACCCUUAUCCUUUGUUGCCAGCGGUCCGGCCGGGAACUCAAAGGAGACUGCCAGUGAUAAACUGGAGGAAGGUGGGGAUGACGUCAAGUCAUCAUGGCCCUUACGACCAGGGCUACACACGUGCUACAAUGGCGCAUACAAAGAGAAGCGACCUCGCGAGAGCAAGCGGACCUCAUAAAGUGCGUCGUAGUCCGGAUUGGAGUCUGCAACUCGACUCCAUGAAGUCGGAAUCGCUAGUAAUCGUGGAUCAGAAUGCCACGGUGAAUACGUUCCCGGGCCUUGUACACACCGCCCGUCACACCAUGGGAGUGGGUUGCAAAAGAAGUAGGUAGCUUAACCUUCGGGAGGGCGCUUACCACUUUGUGAUUCAUGACUGGGGUGAAGUCGAAACAAGGUAACCGUAGGGGAACCCGCGGUUG